rnacentral:rRNA from 1 species
GACGAACGCUGGCGGCGUGCUUAACACAUGCAAGUCGAACGAAGAGCGACGGAAGCUUGCUUCUAUCAAUCUUAGUGGCGAACGGGUGAGUAACGCGUAAUCAACCUGCCCUUCAGAGGGGGACAACAGUUGGAAACGACUGCUAAUACCGCAUACGAUCUAACCUCGGCAUCGAGGAUAGAUGAAAGGUGGCCUCUACAUGUAAGCUAUCACUGAAGGAGGGGAUUGCGUCUGAUUAGCUAGUUGGAGGGGUAACGGCCCACCAAGGCGAUGAUCAGUAGCCGGUCUGAGAGGAUGAACGGCCACAGUGGGACUGAGACACGGCCCAGACUCCUACGGGAGGCAGCAGUGGGGAAUCUUCCGCAAUGGACGAAAGUCUGACGGAGCAACGCCGCGUGAGUGAUGACGGCCUUCGGGUUGUAAAGCUCUGUUAAUCGGGACGAAAGGCCUUCUUGCGAAUAGUGAGAAGGAUUGACGGUACCGGAAGAGAAAGCCACGGCUAACUACGUG